GACGAACGCUGGCGGCGUGCUUAACACAUGCAAGUCGAACGGAAAGGCCCCUUUCGGGGGGUUCUCGGGGGGGGAACGGGGAAGUAAAACGUGAGUAACCUGCCCCUUACUUUGGGGUAAAUUCAGGCAACUGGGGGUUAUACCCGAUAAGAGAUCCUGCUGGAUGGUGGGGGGUGGGAAGUUUUGGCGGGUGGGGGUGGGCUCGGGGCUUUUCGGCUUGGUGGUGGGGGAGUGGCGUAGCAAGGCGUUUACGGGUAGGCGGCCUGAGAGGGUGACCGGCCACAUUGGGACGGAGAUACGGCCCAGACUCCUACGGGAGGCAGCAGUGGGGAAUAUUGCACAAGGGGUGGAAGCCUGAUGCAGCAACGCCGUGGGCGGGAGGACGGCCUUCGGGUUGUAAACCGCUUUCGCUCAUGACGAAGCUUUGUGUGACGGUAGUGGGUAAAGAAGCACCGGCUAACUACGUG
rnacentral:rRNA from 1 species